rnacentral:rRNA from 1 species
UGCCAGACUCCUACGGGAGGCAGCAGUGAGGAAUAUUGGUCAAUGGCCGAGAGGCUGAACCAGCCAAGUCGCGUGAGGGAAGACUGCCCUAUGGGUUGUAAACCUCUUUUGUCAGGGAGCAAUUGGCGCUACGUGUAGCGUUAUCGAGAGUACCUGAAGAAAAAGCAUCGGCUAACUCCGUGCCAGCAGCCGCGGUAAUACGGAGGAUGCGAGCGUUAUCCGGAUUUAUUGGGUUUAAAGGGUGCGUAGGCGGAAUAUCAAGUCAGCGGUAAAAAUUCGGGGCUCAACCCCGUCGUGCCGUUGAAACUGAUGUUCUUGAGUGGGCGAGAAGUAUGCGGAAUGCGUGGUGUAGCGGUGAAAUGCAUAGAUAUCACGCAGAACUCCGAUUGCGAAGGCAGUAUACCGGCGCCCAACUGACGCUGAAGCACGAAAGCGUGGGUAUCGAACAGGAUUAGAUACCCGCGUAU